rnacentral:rRNA from 1 species
UACAGAGGUCCCAAGCGUUGUUCGGAUUCACUGGGCGUAAAGGGUGCGUAGGCGGUCGGGUAAGUCUGACGUGAAAUCUUCAAGCUCAACUUGGAAACUGCGUCCGAUACUAUUCGGCUAGAGGAAUGGAGAGGAGAGUGGAAUUCCUGGUGUAGCGGUGAAAUGCGCAGAUAUCAGGAAGAACACCCGUGGCGAAGGCGGCUCUCUGGAACAUUUCUGACGCUGAGGCUCGAAAGCGUGGGGAGCAAACAGG